AUCAUUGUCUUGUCUUUUGUUAGUUACGUUUUCAAUUCAUUCUUAAUUCUCUCUUCUAAUUCAACUUUAAUACUAUGUAAUGCAAUUUUAAUUCAAAUUUAAUUCAUUUUGAAGUUUUUUGAUUUAUUUGUUACUGUUGGAUACUUAUUUAAUUCACUAUUGAUAUAACUUAUAAGUUUAAUUCAGUUUAUAGAUCAUUAUCAUGUCUUUCGUUAGUUACAUUUUUCAUUCAUUCUUAAUUCUCUCUUUUAAUUCAACUUAAUACUAUGUAAUACAAUUUUAAUGCAAAUUUAAUUCAUUUUGCAGUUUUUUUAUUUAUUU
rnacentral:lncRNA from 1 species